GAUGAACGCUAGCGGCAGGCUUAACACAUGCAAGUCGAGGGGUAACAGGAAGAAGCUUGCUUUUUUGCUGACGACCGGCGCACGGGUGCGUAACGCGUAUACAAUCUACCUUUUACAGAGGGAUAGCCCAGAGAAAUUUGGAUUAAUACCUCAUAGUAUUAUAAAGUGGCAUCAUUUAAUAAUUAAAACUUCGGUGGUAAAAGAUGAGUAUGCGUUCUAUUAGCUAGAUGGUAAGGUAACGGCUUACCAUGGCAACGAUAGAUAGGGGUCCUGAGAGGGAGAUCCCCCACACUGGUACUGAGACACGGACCAGACUCCUACGGGAGGCAGCAGUGAGGAAUAUUGGACAAUGGAGGUAACUCUGAUCCAGCCAUGCCGCGUGCAGGAAGACGGUCCUAUGGAUUGUAAACUGCUUUUAUAUAGGAAGAAACCGUUCCACGUGUGGAACUCUGACGGUACUAUAUGAAUAAGCACCGGCUAACUCCGUGCCAGCAGCCGCGGKAAUACGGAGGGUGCAAGCGUUAUCCGGAAUCAUUGGGUUUAAAGGGUCCGUAGGCGGACUAAUAAGUCAGGGGUGAAAUCCARCAGCUUAACUGUUGAACUGCCUUUGAUACUGUUAGUCUUGAAUUAUAUGGAAGUAGAUAGAAUGUGUAGUGUAGCGGUGAAAUGCUUAGAGAUUACACAGAAUACCGAUUGCGAAGGCAGUCUACUACGUAUAUAUUGACGCUAAUGGACGAAAGCGUGGGGAGCGAACAGGAUUAGAUACCCUGGUAGUCCACGCCGUAAACGAUGGACACUAGUUGUUGGAUUUAUUCAGUGACUAAGCGAAAGUGAUAAGUGUCCCACCUGGGGAGUACGAACGCAAGUUUGAAACUCAA
rnacentral:rRNA from 1 species